CACACACACACACACACACACACACACACACACACACACACACACACACACACACACACACACACUCAUACUCAUGAAUGCACACAUAUAUAAGCCCUUUAUGGCUCAUUAGGGUCAGGGAAGGAUGGAUACAGAUUGCAGAACUAGUAAGGGUUAAAAAUGAGUUUGAACUAAAAUGUCUCUAGUUAACCUAUAAUAGUCAAAACUUAACUCAAGCAACAGUUACCACAUAAAGCUUCUUAUUUUCUAGGCUUGAAAACUAACUCAACAGCCUAAAUAAAUUUAGAAGUUGAGCUAAACUUCAUAAGACAUGAGAUCUCUAAGAUCUUAAAUGCAAGAUUAGACAAGUUAAAUAAGAAUAUGAAUGGGUCUGAAAAACAGUACUUAAUAGGAUGAGCUUUUAAAAGCUGUCAGUAAAGAGCCCAUGAGAGGAAGAGGGGAGAGGCCUGGUGGAGUAAAGGACCGUAGAACACCACGUGAUUUGAAAGUGGAGGGGGGGGUGUACUGGGAAUAGAAAGGUUUUAAGCAGUGGUAUAGAAUGUUGAAGGAGAGAGUAGAGGAAGUAUUAUCCAAAAUUAAAAAAGAAAGGUUUAUUAAAAAGCCAUAUGGAAAUUUAUUGCUUCAUAAAUGAAUUUAAAAUUAUAAUCUAAACAAGAGCAUUUGCAUGGCACUAGCCUGCAUGGGUGGAUAAUGCUGUUUUCAAAAAGCCAUAUAUUAUUAAAUGAAAAUCUAAUGACAAGAAUUAGAUACUUCUUUAUGAGUUGGUCAGAGAGGCCUCAAACAAUACAAGUUAUUACCACUGUUCUUGAUUCCCACCAGAAAUGCAUGGUAAGAUGAAGACACCACACACUUGGGUUAUAGCACAUGCAGAAAUCAAGUUGGAAUUGAACUGGAAGCUUCCUCCCUUCUGGCUGUUCAUAGUACUGAGGUGCUGUGCAAGCUGCUGGGGGAGUGUGCUGCAAUACUGACUUUCCAGGCAAGCGUGCCCAUGGGGCAAUAGUGGCAUACUAGUCAUGAAGGUAGCCAACCACUUUUUGAUAGAAUUGAUGCCUGCUCCGUAGGAGGAAAUCCAUGCUUAUUGCUGUAAGUCUUAUCAAAAUCCCACGACAAGGAAGGUAAUAGGUCCCUGAUUGUUUUGCAAAUGGACAUGUGAAACAGUUUUCUAAAUAUUUGUUUAUACCCAUAGAUCUUUGGUGCUAUUCAGACUGGUCAGAAAGGCUUCAUUUUGCUGUGGGCAGGGGUUAGUGUAGAGAUACUUAACUGGCCAAAGUGUUAAGAAACUAUUGAGUGUUCAAUCCUAAAUGAGACAUCUUUAGUACCCUUCUAUCCCAUUCCAAGACUCAAGGAAAAUUGCAGAAGAGUGUAUGUGGGGCAAGAGCUGAAGGAUACAGAGAGGUGCUGUUUUCUAGACACGACACACCAUAGCACUUGUGAACUCACAGCAGUUGUGGUUACCUGCACAAGACCUGUACAAGAUGGAGCCCACGGACGUUUCAGCAAAGAUGGGGGAAGGGCUCAUAAGGCUCUACCCUUCGUUGAGAAACCAUUAGCAGCUGGUAAGGGCUGCUAUGAGAGAAGGGAUCACUUUUCUUCAGUGGUGUGAGCUUUCGUAAGAAACCCAUGUUUCAAUGAAUAACACCAUACCUAUUGUGAUGGUUUGAAUGAAAACAGCCCCCAUAGGUCAUAGGGAGUGGCCUUGUAGGAGGAAGUGUGUCGCAGGGCAUGGGCUUUGAGGUUUCCGAAGCUAAAGCCAGGUCCAGUGUCUCUCUCUCUUCUUACUGCCUUCAGCUCCAGAUAUAGAUCCGCCAUGUCUGCCUGCAUUUCAACAUGUUGAUAAUGGACUAAACUUCGGAACUGUAAGCCAGACCAGUUAGAUAUUUUCCUUUGGAAGAGUUGGCAUGAUCAUGGCAUCUAUUCACAGCAAUAAAACCCUAACUAAGAGACCUCACAUACACGAAGUCCACCAAAAAAUAUAAAUAAAUAAAAUAAGUGAAACCAAAGUUUAGAAUAUGGUUUCUUACCUAGACAAACAAACAAACAACCUGCCAGUCUUUGGGGAUGGGGUUGUAACUCAAUAGUAGUCUGCACGCCAAGCAAAUACUACCUAAUAUGCAUGAGGUUCUGAGAAGAGGGAGCUGGUGGUUAGAAAAGGAAAGAACAGUUCUAAGAGACAAGGAACAUACACAAAUGUAAGUGCAUGCACAUAUAUACCAUAUGUGUGUAUGGGGCAUGUGUGUGGGGAGACAGAGAUGGGGUGGGGAGGAAGACCCAGUUAGAAAACAAAAAAUGACAAAAUCAAGGAUCCAUCUGUUCUGCAUUAAACUUUGGCUAAUUUAUUUUAAUAGUGGUGAGAGUACUAUGUCACAGAUGCUUUCAUAAUUGCUCUUAGGAUUUAAAAUAGAAAUCAUCUUUCUUGGGCAAUGUACAAUAUGCUAUAGUCUUGAAAAGAAGAUUUGUUUACUUAGUGUUCCCACUUCUAGGAAUGCAGCUCAACACAAAUAAAAUUGGAGAGCAUGUCAAGAAUUUAUGGAGAACUG
rnacentral:lncRNA from 1 species